AAGAAGCAGGGGAUCUCUGAGAAAGAGGCCUCAGCCUGACAGGAACUGGGUCAGAGCCUUGAAAUCUCUCCAAGCCCACUGGGACUUAAACUUAGUUGUGCUCCCGGAGGGGUCAGAGCUUACAGUGGGCCACAGAUGAUUCUUGGGGACACUGAAGACAGAGGGAACUGCAGAGAGCAUCUAAAAAGCAGUAUAGAAAAGCAUUCAUCCUUUACACACACGGGAACCAUGCAGAAAUAAAGAGUUGACUUCCUAUCAGAGACCAUGGACAGUGGAAGGCAACAGGAUAAGACACGCACAUCCUGAAGAAUGUCAUCCAAAUUUUCCUUGUGAAGAAAAAAAAAAAAUCAUCCUUCAGGAAUUAAGCAGAAAUUAGAACAUCUCCAGAUAAAAGUUGAAGGAAAUCGUUAGCAGAGGACUUGCCUUACAAGGCGCGGUAGAGGGGGUUCUCCAGGCUGAAAUGAAACGGUACAAGCCAGUUACCUCAAAACCACGAGAAGAGCACAGGGCAGGUAACAACACAGUGCGUUAAAGUGUCGGCAGGCGUCAGGGUUGUGACCCCUCUGCUUUUGCCCAGAUGCCUGAGCGCAUCAGUGCACAGACACCAAUUACAAAGCUGUGUUCACGAGAAGAUGUGUAAUGUGCCAACGGUGGCAAGAAAAGUCUGGCGGGGAAGGGACGGAGAGGAAACGCUCUCUCUGUGAACCAGAGAGUGAGAGUUGUUGUUCAUGUGAGGAUUUUGCAGGUGCGAGGCCUUGGGGACCCCUGGGAGCGAUCCUGGAGAGUGCAGUGUGGCAGAGGCAGAUGGGAGGACCCGGGCUCAGCACGGAGGAAGAUGAGGACUGAAUCCCAGGAGCUGUCCUCUGACCUCUACAUGGGCUGUGCGCAUGUCCCCAACAUGUACACACCCUAAUAAUGAGCCUUAAAGGAUGCUGACUUAGUCCCCAAGGUAAAUAAUGAGAAACAUUUAAAAAAUGGACAAAAAUGAAAAGAGAAGCAAAGAAGAACACUGAGAAUAUCAAAAAGUGUGGAAAAGGCAAGGAGGAGGGAUUAUGGUGAAGAUGAAAGGAAUGCAGAAAUUGAAGCAAGUCAAAUGGAAGACACAAGUGUCUGCUUUCUCUUGCUGUGGUGCAAACACCUGGACCAAAAGUGACUCUUGGGAGGAAAGGGUUGAUUCCAGCUUACACUUCCAGGUCAUGGUUCAUCUCUGAGGAAAACCAGGGCAGAAGCUGAGGCUGGAACCAUGGAGGAUGCUGCUGGCUGGCUGCUCCCAGGCUUACGUGUAGCUAGUUUUCUUCUACAGCCCAGGAGCCCCUGCCCAGGGAACGACACCACCUAGAGUUGAUUGGGCCUUCAUAUGCCAGCUAACAAUUAAGACAGGGCUGGAGAGAUGGCUCAGAGGGUGUCUGCAGAGCUCAGGACCACUCUGUGGUGGCCCCAACCCACUCGGCAGCCUGUGCCGUGGGAGCUGCUGACCAGCCCUCAGCGGCUGGCUGAGCACUCCAGUCCUCAGGAGGGAACUGCUGGAUGGGCACUGGGGGCGCCUGCACACCCUCAGGCCAGGCUGCCACCUCGGGCUGAGCAGCAGUGAACUCAGCAGCUGGCACAGUCCAUUCACCCUGGAAUUCCUUGUUGGUCACGGCCUUCUCAGCAGCAGCCUGCUCCUCCUUCUCAGUCUCCUCCGGGUCUCUGCAGAAGUAAAGAUCGGGCAUAACCUCCCACGGGGGCUCACGGGAGAUAGUGCCACGCAUGUGGAGCACUUCCCGGGCAGCAUCCGCCACAUCAGACCCCCUGGGUGAGUGCCCUUGUUGUACAGGAUGGCAAUGUCCACAUAGCGCAGAGGGGAAUCUGUUGCACAGAGCAAUGGUGGGCAGGUUGACCUAAGAGGCCUCUGUGAGGGGCUGGUGGUCAGCCCUGGGAUCAGUCACCACCAGAAGCCAUGGUUCCCUGAAGGCCACUUGGAUCUGGUUAGUGAAGGUCCCGGGUGUGAAGCGGCCAGCAAUUGGAGUGGCUCCAGUGGCAGCGGCAAACUUCAGCAGAGCUCUCUGGCCAGUGUUCCUGGAGGAGAUGACGCUGACAUCGGCAGGGUCCUCAAUGGCAACAAUAGCCCGAGCAGCAAGCCAACAGCGUCUCCCAGGUCCUCUUCAGAUUUAUGAUGUAGAUACCAUCACUCUUCCUUUUGUAGAUGUAUUGCUCCAUCUGAAAGUCAAGGUUGGUGCCAUCUAAGUGGGUCCCUGUGGUGAGGAAUUUGAGGACAUCCUCCUCCUUCAUCUGCAGGACAUCAAGGGCUCUGGACAUUGUGAAAGUUUUCCCUUUAAGUUACGCUGGGAAUAAAAAACAAUGUCGUAUGGACCCGUCCCUGGGCAGCGCGGGGGGGGGGGAAGCUUAUUCCUCAUGUAUCUUAGUUUAAAUUGUGUAUGACCGCCAGACGUGUGUGCCCAGUGCCCCCGAGGCCAGAAAAGGAUGUUGGAUACACUGGCACUGUGGUCUUGUGCCCAUGAACCUCCAGUGCGGGUGUAGGAGAUGGAACUUGGAUGCUCAGUAAUGGCGAUCAUCUGAGCCAUCUCCCCAGGCUCUAGUGUUUGUAAAGAUGUAUACACACCUGAGGUGUCUGUUAUAACUCAGGCAAGGUAAGAGAUUAAUGUUGAUAACUAGUGACAAUUAUCACAAACAAAAGACCCGUGAAAGUUCUUCAGAUGGAACUAUCUCUCAGCUAUCUCACCGUGCCCUCACAAUCCUACGUGACAUGCCUCAGGGUGACACAAGGCCUGCAGAUGAGCUGGACUAAGGAGAAGGAGCACCGUGCGCACUGUGACACAGCGUGAGGACCUCGUCACCUUCUGCCCUGAACACGAGGACUGAGACACUACAGAGGCAGGCCCAGUAACUCAGACUCCUCCAUGUCCCUAGUAGCAUGAACAAGUGGCUCAAGGACCCCCCUCGUGUCCCCAGCAUGAGUGCGACGGGGAAGAAGACAGGAGCUUUAGUGAGACUCCCUCAAACAGUGCACAGCUCAAGAUCUGCAAAUGGCUCGUUUCUGGAAGUUUCCAUGGACUGCUUUGGACCGUGGUGAUCACUGUAAUUGAAACCAGGGAAAGGCGAGCGAGCUCUGGCCGAGCAGGGUUCAUUCCCACAGUUGGGCUUUAGAGAGCCAGUGUGAUGCCUGCUGGACACGAAGGAGGCUUGACGACUUAAGUCAGUCACAGAGAGACAGUGCGUGAGCGCACUCUGUCAGCUCACAGAAACUGAGGCAGAAGGAUGGGCGCCAGAGUUGUGCAGAGGAGAGCGAGGACAGCUGCUGUUGUGGGGUGCAGGGCUUCAUGUCAGCAGAUGAAGGGGUCUGGGGAGGCGCUGCAGGGGGCCGAGCACUGGGAAUGACUUGUACCACUGAGCUGUAUGCUGCAAAUGGAGAGGACGCGCUGGGGGAGGCGCCCUGGAGUGUGCUGGCUGAGUGCAUAAGGCCCUGCGAUCAGUUCCCAGCACCAUGAGAAAUAAAUCGGUCAGGCUGGCAAA